UACGUAGGGGGCGAGCGUUGUCCGGAUUUACUGGGCGUAAAGAGCGCGCAGGCGGUCGUUCAAGUCGCGUGUGAAAGCCCCCGGCUCAACUGGGGAGGGUCACGCGAUACUGAUCGACUCGAAGGCAGGAGAGGGAAGUGGAAUUCCCGGUGUAGUGGUGAAAUGCGUAGAUAUCGGGAGGAACACCAGUGGCGAAGGCGACUUCCUGGCCUGUUCUUGACGCUGAGGCGCGAAAGCUAGGGGAGCAAACGGG
rnacentral:rRNA from 1 species